CACUACUUGUUCUGAGGUAUGUCCCAAUGCUUUCCCUUUUUUAUGUUCAAUUGCACUAAAGUGAAAAAAACUUUAUGCCUAAAUAUUUCUUUACAGAAAAAGAAAAAACCGCAAAGUGAGGUGCAGAGAGUGCAUGCGCUUUUUAAUUCGGUGAAGCCGAAGGAGGAUGUGCCUCCUCGCUUUAGGGUGUUGUACAAAUUUGCAAAAACAGUGAUGAAAGAAAGUGGAAACUCGAUACCAGUUCCAUGUGAUGUUGAUAUCUUUGGAAUCGAAAGAACUAUUUAUCUACUGGACAAGAGUGUACUUUCACUAUUAGAGUUUAAAAUGAUUGGG
rnacentral:lncRNA from 1 species